UGUCCAGAAUAGGCUAUUUCGCUCUUAAAGCAACGUUUUGAGUGAGAUUUCGAACUCUCGGAAAAUUUAAAGAUUCUCUUUAUUUUUCCAUCGACCAGCGUUUCAUUUCGGAACUCUGGACUGUACGCACGAUAGGUUUCACUUUUCGGAUGUUCGCCGACGCUAAUUUCUUUGCUUCGAAACCCUAUUUUCGAGCAAUGGAUGAAGACUUUUUCUAUUCGGGACUUCUAACGAAGAUUCCGUCCGCGUUGCCAGACUUGUUUCGACAUUUCCAAUCUUUCUUCUGUUGGAAGUUUUGUCGUUUGAGCAUCACAGCAAAAAGUAGUUUUUCGGGACAGACUAACUUACACCGCUUUUGGCGUUUUGGAUAUCGUUUUUCCUAAAUCCUAGAUAUUUGUUUUGAGUUCUGGAAUUCUGACGCCAGAAUCUCUCUUAGAAUUUCUCGGUGAUCGUGCUGCAAAAAUCGGAAUCGCGAAAUUUUCAUUUUCCCGCGAUUUCACCCGCCUAUAAAUAGGCGAAAAAGCAAAAUAUCUUUCAUUUUCCUCCAUUAGUGGCCCAAAUUCGUGGAGAGCAAGGGAGGAAGAGAUUUUCGCGAAAACUUGACCAAUCUUCGUGCAGUUCGUCCCUACUUCUAGGUAUCAAGUUGAAGGAACUUUGGAAUAUUCAGAGCAACUGUUUGAGGACAACCUUGAUUUCGAAGCUGGAACAGCUCGAGGCGUCUGUCAGCCGGUUCGUGAUGAUUCGUUGUGCGGGAAAGACCCGGAGCGAAAUGUCUAUUACUGAAGCUUUCGACGAGGACCCAGACUUCAUGGCUGAUCGAGGGAGAGUCGAUAAUAGUAGUGUGGGUUAUGGGUGGUUAGAGUCUUUUGAGUUGGUUGUCACUGUCAUAGCCCUGAUUCGUCUUACUUUUGGGACCGGGUAGGUUCCCGAUAUAUGGCUUUUUGUGUGGUUCUCUUGCUGAGGAUCACAGAGAGUCUGUCGGACUAUAGGGGUCUUGGGUUGAGGCCAUUUUGAGGCCGACCUUCUCUUGGAUAGUGGUAUAUUUGAUGCUUUUGCGUACAGUUCUGGUUUGUAUAUAUUCGCCUACGGGCACGCUACCUUGGAGUCACUGCGUGUGCGCGUGACGGGAUAGUGCAGCAGAGGCUGUACCUUUGUAUAUGUUGUUUAUCGGUUAGUUUAGUUGUUGGGCUUUGUCUUUAUUUCUUUAUUGCUUUUAUUAAAAGGAAACAAUCAAAAAAAAAAUUUACCUGUUUUCCGCGUAAAGUUUAUUUUUGGUUACUAAAGUGACACCUGGAAGUCGGGGUGUUACAGCGUUCUUGGAAAAGUAUUUUCCAACUAGUGCUCGGGAUGAGCGGGAGGCACAGUUUCUGACACUGCGUCAAGGAGGUAUGUCUGUACCUGAAUUUGCUUCCAAGUUGGAAUCUCUGGCGAAGCAUUUCCAAUUUUUCAACGAUCACGUUGAUGAGCGCUACAUGUGUAAGCGUUUUGUUAAUGGACUGAGGCCUGAUAUCGAGGACUCGGUGAGGC